rnacentral:lncRNA from 1 species
GGCGACCACCUAUACCCAUUGCCGUCUGAACUGCCCUGGGGGCCCUGCCCAGCUCCAGGCCCUGGCCCACAGGUGUGCGGCGUGGGACAGGGGUGCUUGUGGAGUUCAGUGAGCUGGCCUUCCACCUUCGCAGCCCGGGGGACUUGACCGCUGAGGAGAAGGACCAGAUAUGUGACUUCCUCUAUGGCCGUGUGCAGGCCCGGGAGCGCCAGGCCCUGGCCCGUCUGCGCAGAACCUUCCAGGCCUUUCACAGCGUAGCCUUCCCCAGCUGCGGGCCCUGCCUGGAGCAGCAGGAUGAGGAGCGCAGCACCAGGCUCAAGGACCUGCUCGGCCGCUACUUUGAGGAAGAGGAAGGGCAGGAGCCGGGAGGCAUGGAGGACGCACAGGGCCCCGAGCCAGGGCAGGCCAGACUCCAGGAUUGGGAGGACCAGGUCCGCUGCGACAUCCGCCAGUUCCUGUCCCUGAGGCCAGAGGAGAAGUUCUCCAGCAGGGCUGUGGCCCGCAUCUUCCACGGCAUCGGAAGCCCCUGCUACCCGGCCCAGGUGUACGGGCAGGACCGACGCUUCUGGAGAAAAUACCUGCACCUGAGCUUCCAUGCCCUGGUGGGCCUGGCCACGGAAGAGCUCCUGCAGGUGGCCCGCUGACUGCACUGCAUUGGGGGAUGUCGGGUAGAGCUGGGGUUGUCAGAGGCUAGGGCAGUGACUGAGGACCUGGGCAAAACCUGCCACAGGGUGUGGGAACGAGGAGGCUCCAAAAUGCAGAAUAAAAAAUGCUCACUUUG